AAGCUCUUGUAUUUAUUACGAGUCUAAAUGUUAUUUGUCAAAAUUAAAUUUGAGCUCUGAUUACAAAACUUUUCGUUGAAAAAAUGAACACAUUUAAAAUUAUUUGUAUUUUCUUGUUUUUCUGGGUGCAUAAUGAUGUGUGUGGACAAGGAAACAGGUGUUUUGAUUGCACUAAUUAUAUUUCAAAUUGUAAACCGGCGAAAAAUCUUGUAUUCAUCAGAAAUACAACAGCUGAUAGGGGCAAAGUACAGCCAAUCGGGGACAGUAAGCCGGACGAAGCUCUGGAUGAAUGCAUAGAUCCUAAAAUGAAAAUAACUGAUACUCUUAUAAAUGUUGUGUGCUUCCGGGCCAAAGAUAAAACAUGUGGCAUAGUAGGACCGACCCGCGUUGUGUAUAAAAGUUUGAUCUGUUUUGAAUGUGAAUUAGCCUGCAAUUGCGAUAUAGGUUCAGGUGGUACCAGAGAGCAGGGAAUAUAUUUUAGAGUGUAUGCAAUUUGGAGUAUUGCUAGUGUAUUGCUAGUGUAUUUGUGAACUGAUUUUAAACUUAGAGCAACAGAUCACAUUAUGUUUGUCAGAGUUAAAGUGGAUAAAUUGCUAUAAAAAAGCAAUACGUAUACACAGUAAUAGAUAUCAACUUACCCAAAAUAAAAUACAGUAGAAUCCGAUUAUAACGACACUCAAGGGUCUGUGUUUAUAUCCGGAAGGCGCUAUAACCGCGCAAAUGCUAUAAGCGGAGUCGUUAUUACCGGAUUCUACUGUAUUUAUUUAUAAGUAUUCAUUUAUAAGUAAUAAAUGCAUAGAAGCUCUCUCAAAUAACUGUA